rnacentral:rRNA from 1 species
GACAGAGGUGCCAAGCGUUAGGCGGAAUCACUGGGCUUAAAGCGUGUGUAGGCGGGUCGUUAAGUACCUUGUGAAAUCCCACGGCUUAACCGUGGAACUGCUCGGUAUACUGGCGAUCUUGAGCCACUUAGGGGUCAGCGGAACAAAUGGUGGAGCGGUGAAAUGCGCAGAUAUCGGGAGGAACACCUAUGGCGAAGGCAGCUCGCUGGGACGUUACUGACGCUGAGACGCGAAAGCGUGGGGAGCAAACAGG